AAUUGGACAAGGUAGUUUUGGCUCUGUAUAUAGAGGAAGUCUUGAUCUACAUGGUGAAAGGAUAGUUGCUGUGAAGGUAAUCAACCUUCAUCAACAUGGAGCAUCCAAGAGCUUCAUUGCUGAGAGCAGAGCAUUGCGGAACAUCAGGCACCGAAAUCUGGUGAAGAUCUUGACAUACUGCUCAAGCAUUGAUUUUAAAGGCAAUGACUUCAAAGCUUUUGUGCUUGAUUUCAUGGUGAAUGGAAGUUUAGAAAUGUGGUUGCAUCCAAAUGAAGAUAGUAAUAGCCAGCCAAGGAAUUUAAACCUUCUUCAAAGGCUUCGGGUUGCCAUUGAUUUGUCAUCUGCAUUGCAUUACCUUCAUGACCUUUGUGAAACACCAAUCAUUCACUGCGACCUGAAGCCAAGCAAUAUUCUGCUUGACAAUGACAUGACUGCUCAUGUGGGUGAUUUCGGAUUAGCAAGGCUUCUUUCCAAAACCUCAAGCAACUCUUCUCAGGACCAAACGAGCUCCAUUAGGAUAAAGGGAACAAUCGGCUAUAUGCCUCCAGAAUAUGGAAUAGGUGGCGAGCCAACAACAUAUGGGGAUGUGUAUAGCUUUGGAAUAAUUUUGUUGGAGAUUAUCACAGGACGGAGACCAAUUGAUGAAGUGUUCACAGAUAGUUUGAAUCUCCACAACUUUGUUAGGUCUAAGCUACCGGGACAAGUAAUGCAGGUUCUAGAUCCCAAACUUAUUGCAACAGGAGAAGUGGGAGCAGAAGAAAUUGUUGAAGACAAUGAGAGUAAUGAUGGUCAAACAGAAAUCCAAGAAGAUAAUGUCAAUAUUGAAAAUUUGAAAUUACAGGGAAGCAAUGUGCAAAAAUGUGUUGUAUCAGUCCUCAAAAUAGGACUCGCAUGCUCGGCAGAACUACCAGGAGAUCGAAUGAAUAUGAUCGAUGUCACAAGAAAAUUAAGCGUUAUCACAGAGGCUUUCCUUCGUGCAAGGACUCAGAGAACGACAAAUCGUAAACCACUAUUAGGUAUGAGUUUAUUAUUUUUUUUUUAACACACAUUCUGAUUGAUGAAUCUUAUAUUAUCUUCAUAUUUGCUUAGCCCAAAGGCUACUUUGAUCAUUUGGAUAUUGCAGGAAUACGCUGUGGCAAUCAAGCAUCUAGGCCCCCACUAACCUGAGCUUUUGGAUCUCACUCAAUUUCAACAAUAAAUGUUCUAUGAACAUCAAUCUUCAGCAGAUAAACCUCAAGUUCUACCUCGUGAACUGUCUGCGAGGCUUUUCUAAUCGUUUCUUUCAACUAAAUUUAAAAUUAGAAUGUGC
rnacentral:misc_RNA from 1 species